ACCAUGAGCAAAUCAGAGUGUUUAAAGCAGGCUCAAUGGCUUGAAUGUGUUAGCAUGGAAUAAUGAAAUAUGGCUUGGGUCCUUAUUUCGUUGGUUUAUACGACCUUUGCAAUGAUAAAUA
rnacentral:rRNA from 1 species